rnacentral:rRNA from 1 species
UACGGGGGGAGCAAGCGUUGUUCGGAUUUACUGGGCGUAAAGGGCGCGUAGGCGGUCGUGACAAGUCACUUGUGAAAUCUCCGGGCUUAACUCGGAACGGUCAAGUGAUACUGUCGGACUAGAGUACAGAAGGGGCAACUGGAAUUCUCGGUGUAGCGGUGAAAUGCGUAGAUAUUAUCAGGAACACCAAUGGCGAAGGCGGCUCACUGGCCCGAUACUGACGCUGAGGCACGAAAGCGUGGGGAGCAAACAGG